GAGACAGCAGCCGCCGCGGUAAUACAGAGGGUGCAAGCGUUAAUCGGAAUUACUGGGCGUAAAGCGCGCGUAGGUGGUUCGCCAAGUUGGAUGUGAAAUCCCCGGGCUCAACCUGGGAACUGCAUCCAAAACUGGCGAGCUAGAGUAUGGUAGAGGGUGGUGGAAUUUCCUGUGUAGCGGUGAAAUGCGUAGAUAUAGGAAGGAACAUCAGUGGCGAAGGCGACCACCUGGACUGAUACUGACACUGAGGUGCGAAAGCGUGGGGAUCAAACAGGAUUAGAUACCCGCGUAGUCCCUGUCUCUUAUAA
rnacentral:rRNA from 1 species